ensembl:snoRNA SNORA65 Small nucleolar RNA SNORA65
CCCGCCACUGUGCUAGUCUGUACCAGUGACUUGGUAUAGUCCAGUGGAGGCUGCGAUCAAACCCAGCUCUAGGAAGCAGGGCUGCCCUCUGUAGUGGGUAGCUCUGUGCCGAAAGGCCUGGAAUAAAC